rnacentral:rRNA from 1 species
UACGGGGGGGGCAAGCGUUGUUCGGAAUUACUGGGCGUAAAGGGCGCGUAGGCGGCCUCUUAAGUCGAACGUGAAAUCCCCGGGCUCAACCCGGGAACUGCGUCCGAUACUGGGAGGCUUGAAUCCGGGAGAGGGAUGUGGAAUUCCAGGUGUAGCGGUGAAAUGCGUAGAUAUCAGGAGGAACACCGAUGGCGAAGGCAGGUCUCUGGGCCACUACUGACGCUGAGAAGCGAAAGCAUGGGGAGCGAACAGG